AGUGAACGCUGGCGGUAUGCCUAACACGUGCAAGUCGAACGGCAGCACAGUAAGAUCUUGCUCGUACGGGUGGCGAGUGGCGGACGGGUGACGAGUGCAUCGGAAUCUACUUUUUCGUGGAGGAUAACGUAGGAAGACUUCCGCUACUACCUCAUACUACCUGCGGGUGAGAGUGGAGAGUCUUCGAAGCUUGCGCGACUGAAUGAGCAUAUGCCGGAUUAGCUAGUUGGCGGGGUAAAGGCCCACCAAGGCGACGAUCCGUAGCCGGCCUGAGAGGAUGAUCGGCCACACUGGAACUGAGACACGGCCCAGACUCCUACGGGAGGCAGCAGUGGGGAAUAUUGGACAAUGGGCGCAAGCCUGACCCAGCAAUGCCGCGUGAGUGAAGAAGGUCUUCGGGUCGUAAAGCCCUGUUGUUGGGAAAGAAAAAGAGCUGGUGAAUACCCUGCUGUCUUGACGGUACCUAACGAAAAAGCACCGGCUAACUUCGUG
rnacentral:rRNA from 1 species